rnacentral:snRNA from 1 species
GUCCUUAUUUUGGCAGUACAUACACUAAACUUGGAAUGAUACAGAGAAUAGUGUGACCUCUGUGCAAGGUGGUAUGCAUUUCCGAGGCAUUCCAUGUAAAA